GCUAGAGUGGUGUAGUGGUUUGAGCACUGAAGUAUGACUCAGGAGACCAGGGUUCGAAUCCCCGCUCGGCCA